AUUGAACGCUGGCGGCAGGCUUAACACAUGCAAGUCGAGCGGUAGCACAGGGGAGCUUGCUCCCUGGGUGACGAGCGGCGGACGGGUGAGUAAUGUCUGGGAAACUGCCUGAUGGAGGGGGGAUAACUACUGGAAACGGUAGCUAAUACCGCAUAACGUCGCAAGACCAAAGAGGGGGACCUUCGGGCCUCUUGCCAUCAGAUGUGCCCAGAUGGGAUUAGCUAGUAGGUGGGGUAAUGGCUCACCUAGGCGACGAUCCCUAGCUGGUCUGAGAGGAUGACCAGCCACACUGGAACUGAGACACGGUCCAGACUCCUACGGGAGGCAGCAGUGGGGAAUAUUGCACAAUGGGCGCAAGCCUGAUGCAGCCAUGCCGCGUGUGUGAAGAAGGCCUUCGGGUUGUAAAGCACUUUCAGCGAGGAGGAAGGUGGUGAGCUUAAUACGUUCAUCAAUUGACGUUACUCGCAGAAGAAGCACCGGCUAACUCCGUG
rnacentral:rRNA from 1 species